CUGCAGCUCAAGUGGUAGCCGCUAAUAUUGGGCCUAAAACGUUCGUAGCCGGUUUAGUAAAUGCUUGGGUAAAUUGUGUCGCUUAACGAUACGAAUACCGGGUAGACUGCUAAACUUGGGACCGGGAGAGGCUAGAGGUACUCCUGGGGUAGAGGUGAAAUUCUGUAAUCCUAGGGGGACCACCAGUGGCGAAGGCGUCUAGCUAGAACGGGUCUGACGGUGAGGGACGAAGCCCUGGGGCGCGAACCGGAUUAGAUACCCGAGUAGUCC
rnacentral:rRNA from 1 species